CUCCCAGUCUUAAAGGAAUGGCCUCAUGUAGGAGAUGAACCUUACUGUUAAACCCUGCCCUAACUCUUGAUCGUCUCUCAAAACAUUGGAGAAGCUCUGAGUUUUGAGUUCACUCCUGACGGUCAGUUGCUGUGUUGGGGUGGAGUUUAUGUUGAGACUGUGUCCCAGCCUCUCCUACCCUCUUUGAUGCCAGCCUUCUCUCAUUUGCCAGAUAAAUAGGAGUCACACAGAUAAUUUGGGUUUUUUUUUCCUAGAGGAAAUCGUCACAUAUGCAGUUGUAGAUCUGGUGUUUCCAUGGGACAAGCUUUGCUUAACGACUAGCCUGUAACUAUUUCAAUAGUCUUUGGAGAAAAUGCAAGGGUGAGUCUGUUCCUGGAAGUGAAAGAAACACUAUGUUAGCAACUUUGUCAUUGUAUAGUUCUAGUUAAAAUGUUACAAAAAGUAACUUGUGUUUUGAUGUCUUAUUUACUAAUUUACUAUAUGCUUAUCUACUAUAGCUUAUUACACUCUGAAAGGAAUGGUCUACAGAUAGAUUUUUUCAGUGAGGAUUACAAGGACAACUCAUCAGGGAUUUUUACCAUCUGCAAAGGCAAGGAUACUAAAUAAUACAUUUCCUAGAGAAUACAGCAGAGUCACAUGGGACUAUCAAAGCAGGGCGGAUUCUAGCAGGAUGCACAGCUGCUAUUGUGAAUACUCGACACAAGCAAGGAGAAUUGAUUCCUGUAACAGAAGACACUGCAGCUGAUAAUAUUCUAUAAACCACAGUCAUCAAACCCCUCACAUGCAUCAGUACAGAAAGAGAAAGAUGUAAUUUACACUUCCUUAUUUUUAUUGGAUGAACAGACCUGGAAAGGGUUAUUUAACAUCUAAUGGACUUGCAACUAAGAGCCAAAUAGGAAAGGGUAGGGUACAGACCAGGUUGACCUAAGAGAAACUGGCUUCCAUGUUAGAGACAAAGACAGAGACUUCUUGACAGAGUGCAUUUAGAUAGAGAAAUAGGACUUGUGAUUGAUUGGGAAUAUGGUUUUGCCUGUCUUGUCUUCACUCUCAACAGCACAGGUGGUGUUGUUUCAGGUGUCUCUGAAAGAGAGACAGCAGGUCUUGGAGGGGUCGUAUUUGCCCUGUGAAUUACUCCGAUACUAGCUCUUUUCCUUUUCUCCUUCACCAGAGAGAGAAGCUCUGCUUCAGUCAAGAUUACAAAUAUCAUUCUUUUUAUAGCCUUUUCUUGCAAGGAGAAUUCAUAUAUGUACAUGCCACAGAAUCACUGUUAAGCAUCAGUGAGUGAGUGAACAUUAUUCAACUCUCUAUGCCACAGUGCCCAGCACAGUAAACAUCCAACAAUACUGGCUCAAAUAAAUAUUAAACAGAAUUCUAGACAGCCUGCUCAGUGGGGACAGAUUAAAAGCAUCAGUCAUGUUACAUUUUUAUGCUAUUGUUACAGUGUACCUUCUAUUCAUUUCAAGUGAGGUUUGAAUCUCAAACGCUUUGGAGCAUAUAUCCAUCCAACCUAGACAUUGCC